rnacentral:rRNA from 1 species
CCUACGGGGGGCAGCAGUGAGGAAUAUUGGUCAAUGGGCGCGAGCCUGAACCAGCCAAGUAGCGUGAAGGAUGACUGCCCUACGGGUUGUAAACUUCUUUUAUAAAGGAAUAAAGUGAGGCACGUGUGCCUUUUUGUAUGUACUUUAUGAAUAAGGAUCGGCUAACUCCUUGCCAGCAGCCGCGGUAAUACGGAGGAUCCGAGCGUUAUCCGGAUUUAUUGGGUUUAAGGGGAGCGUAGAUGGUUUGUUAAGUCAGUUGUAAACGUGUGCGGCUCAAACGUAAAAUUGCAAUUGUUACUGGCAGUCUGAAGGACAGUUGAGGGAGGCGGAAUUCGUGGUGUAGCGGUGAAAU